rnacentral:pre_miRNA from 1 species
UCUUCAUUUCACGUGCUCUCUCGCCGGUCAGAGAGGUGAGAUAGUGUGUGAGAUGGAGAGA